CACCGCGGUCAUACAAGAAACCCAAAUCAAUAGACAUCCGGCGUAAAGAGUGGCCAUAUGUUAUCUACACCCACUAAGAUCAAAAUGUAACCAAGCUGUCAUAAGCCCAAGAUCCACCUAAGCCCAACCCCAAAGCCAUCUUAGCACCUAUGACUAAUUUUAACCCACGAAAGCUAGGGUU
rnacentral:rRNA from 1 species